UACGUAGGGACCAAGCGUUGUUCGGAUUUACUGGGCGUAAAGGGCGCGUAGGCGGCAUGACAAGUCACUUGUGAAAUCUCUGGGCUUAGCCCAGAACGGCCAAGUGAUACUGUCGCGCUAGAGUGCAGAAGGGGCAAUCGGAAUUCUCGGUGUAGCGGUGAAAUGCGUAGAUAUCGAGAGGAACACCAGAGGUGAAGACGGGUUGCUGGGCUGACACUGACGCUGAGGCGCGAAAGCCAGGGGAGCAAACGGG
rnacentral:rRNA from 1 species